CUUCCGUUAAUUAUAAGAGAUUAGUAAUCAAUCUUUGCGAGGGGUCAAAUAGCACGCCCGAGUAAAUAUUCGAGUUUAAGGACAAAACACAGCGUGCAGCACGACUUACACGAAAUCAGCUGGAUUCCAUGAAACGGCCAAAUUAUGACCGACACGUUGGCCAAUCCUUCGGUACACUUUGCUGUCACGUUUCCAGCUCUACAUAUAUAAGAGCCGUAGUGUCCUUCGCAGGAAACUCUCUACUUCUUGGCCUAGAAUUUCCGAACUAAGUAGAAUUCGAUUGCACUGUCAAAUAAUCCCCUCGAUGACAGCGAUUAAAUCCUGACUAUGAGGGCACGAAUAGCAAACUAGGGUUCACCUUAUCACUUGAAAUGUUGAUAUCCAUUAUAAAUUUUGAUGUAAGUCUUUCGAUGACGACGUAAGAAUCUGAUGACAACCUAUUCAGUUAGACUUGCAGCCUGGAUUACACUGUCAAGUGAGUCCUGCUAUGACGACUCACGCAUUUGGCCAGGUUUCUCGAUGAUGGGGUGAGAAUCCUAUGACGACCUAUUCCACUUGCAACUUGGAUUUCCCAGUCAAGUGAGCCCUGCGAUGACGACUCAGCAUCUGACCAAGACAGAAGAAAAGGCCACCGUGGAUUCACCUUUUCCACUUAUUGUCAGAACUGCGCCGGAACCGAGUUUCGAGACCGAUGAUGUGGCUCUUCGAGACCACGAACUUUGUUCCCAAUUGACUGCCCCGGACCUGCAUUUGAGUGCAUUGGAUAAUUGAGGCAAAUUAGCAACAUCGUACCCAAUGUGGACGACCUCGGAGUCGAUUUUUGAAAUUUCGGGGGCGUUACUAUUGCCAGCCGCGUGAAACGUUUCAUCACGGAAACACGUCAGCUGAUGCAUUAUACAUUGAGCGUACCUUGUCAAGGGACGUUUCCACCUGUAUGCAGUACACGGAGCGCAAUUCUGCGGCGAAAUCACAGGAGGAUUUCGCAAUUAGGCCCGACGCUAACAUUGCGUUUACCCGCGAGACAAGUGAAGGUGGAUGAGAGCUCGUCGUGACGGAAUUACAAUUAGCCGGGCAGUGUUUUACCGUAUUUGCAGUGCAAUCGGUAGUACACUUACCCCGACGGUAGUUUUUCCUCGCAGGAUCGGUUUGUCCGAAGCGAAUAACGCAAGACAAGUCGGCAAAUUCCGAGAGAGCGUGAAGUCGAGACACUCCGAGAAAGUUGGGCGAAUGUUUAAGGGAGCUGCAAAACCUAUC